GACGAACCGUGCAAACGUUAUUCGGAAUCACUGGGCUUAAAGCGCGUGUAGGCGGGACGGCACGUCGGUCGCUGAAAUCCCCCGGCUCAACCGGGGAAUGGGCGCCGAUACGACCGUCCUGGAGGAACGUAGGGGGACCUGGAACUUCCGGUGGAGCGGUGAAAUGCGUUGAGAUCGGAAGGAACGCCCGUGGCGAAAGCGAGGUCCUGGACGUUUUCUGACGCUGAGACGCGAAAGCCAGGGGAGCGAACGGG
rnacentral:rRNA from 1 species